rnacentral:rRNA from 1 species
CGCCAGACUCCUACGGGAGGCAGCAGUGGGGGGUAUUGCACAAUGGGGGAAACCCUGAUGCAGCGACGCCGCGUGAGUGAAGAAGUAUUUCGGUAUGUAAAGCUCUAUCAGCAGGGAAGAAAGAAGACGGUACCUGAGUAAGAAGCCCCGACUAACUACGUGCCAGCAGCCGCGGUAAUACGUAGGGGGCAAGCGUUAUCCGGAUUUACUGGGCGUAAAGGGAGCGUAGACGGCAAGGGAAGCCUGGAGUGAAAGGCGGGGGCCCAACCCCCGGACUGCUCUGGGAACUGUCUGGCUAGAGUGCAGGAGGGGUAAGUGGAAUUCCUAGUGUAGCGGUGAAAUGCGUAGAUAUUAGGAGGAACACCAGUGGCGAAGGCGGCUUACUGGACUGUAACUGACGUUGAGGCUCGAAAGCGUGGGGAGCAAACAGGAUUAGAUACCCCCGUA